GAGGGUGUAGCUCAGUGGUAGAGCUCACUCUUAGCAUGCACAAGGUCAUGGGUUCAAUCCCCAGCACCUCCA
rnacentral:tRNA from 1 species